rnacentral:rRNA from 1 species
GGGUUGUGAGGUUAAGCGACUAAGCGUACACGGUGGAUGCCCCGGCAGUCAGAGGCGAUGAAGGACGUGCUAAUCUGCGAUAAGCGUCGGUAAGGUGAUAUGAACCGUUAUAACCGGCGAUUUCCGAAUGGGGAAACCCAGUGUGUUUCG